rnacentral:rRNA from 1 species
UACGGGGGGGCAAGCGUUGUUCGGAAUUACUGGGCGUAAAGGGCUCGUAGGUGGCCAACUAAGUCAGACGUGAAAUCCCUCGGCUUAACCGGGGAACUGCGUCUGAUACUGGAUGGCUUGAGUUUGGGAGAGGGACGCGGAAUUCCAGGUGUAGCGGUGAAAUGCGUAGAUAUCUGGAGGAACACCGGUGGCGAAGGCGGCAUCCUGGACCGGUAUUGACGCUGAGGCGCGAAAGCCAGGGGAGCAAACGGG